UGGGCUUAUGUAAUUAAACCAUACAAUUAACUCUCAAACAUCUUAUGUAAUGAUACAGCUUUUUACGAAAACCACACUAUAAAAUGCUAACAGGACGACUCAAAAUUCAGUAGCAUCUGGCUCACUUACUGUGAGCAAUAAGCCGAAACAAUGCCAUAAAUAAUUGAGCAUUCAUGGUUUAAUAGAAAGUGGGGCUUGAACACAUCUGUACUUUAAGUUAACAAACAUGCCUUAACAGCCCACGCUGCCUACCCAAAAGAUAAAGCAGGUCCAUUUCUUUUCCCAUCCUAUCUUCUAAACAUCACUUUCAUGACCUCCCUAAUCUUGUCCUCAAUAUCCAUAAAUCCACAUGAUAUGUUAUGUCCAAUAAUUAGCAGAUCCUGAAAAUCACAAUUCCCACAUCCACAGCCUUAGGCUUUUCGCCAUGGUUAGUUGGUUGUCAACUAGUCUGUUUGUCUUGUUACUCACACCUCGAAAUUGCCACAAAGCAUGUCCUGGAAAAAAUGAAAGCAAUAAAUUCCAGGUCCCCUUUUGUAGUUACAGUAAAAGUGCAUUUCAUCUUGAUGUGCUGUCCUUAUCUUUCUAUAAAAUAGCUUGACUUCUGAAAAUGAAGAGGCUCAUUUCCCCAAGAAGUCCACCCACCUAUCAUCUCUCUAGCAAAUAGUUCAAUACAUCGAGCACGUUUAGGGCCUGGAACAUGCUCCAGCAGCAACUCUAAAGGUCAUAGAAGAAGAACAUUUAAGAAAUUGACUAAUUGAGUGUAUUGACCACAUUAUUUAAUCUAUCACUUCAAAGUUUAUGUUUCUUUUAAUUUAUGCAUUUUCCACUAGCAUAUGCACAUGCAAGAGAAACCAAAUUCCAUGUCAACACUAGAUUACCUCCAACUGGAGGUUUCCUUGAGUAAUCCCCAGGGAUACUUAUGAUGAUUUUGUCAUGUUCAACAGCUCUCCAGCUUGACAUCUGUUCAGAAUUUGUACCCUCCCCAUGAAGGUACCCCAAUAGCAGGCAUUCAUAGGGUCUAUGGUGAAAGAGGUCUAAAUCACUAAUCAAUGAGCCAUCUGCUUUCACCUAUAUCACUUAAGUAUGACUGGAUCAGUGGCAUGAUAACCUGUAAAAGCAGUCACCUUCAAACAGAGUGUGUGUUUGUAAGAUAGAGAGAUCACCUUCAGCCAGUAAAAACUAGCUGCAUAACGGAUUCCCCAUGAGGGGAAUAGCUCUUUCUCAACAAAAUUACGCAAUUUUUCCCUAUUUGUCACCCAUAAGGCUACAAGUGCUCCAUCUGUAUGAGUAAGUUGCUUAAUAGGAAGAGAUAAGAAAUACCGAUUUGGCAAUGUAGG
rnacentral:misc_RNA from 1 species